rnacentral:rRNA from 1 species
AUUGAACGCUGGCGGCAUGCCUUACACAUGCAAGUCGAACGGCAGCGGACCUUCGGGUGCCGGCGAGUGGCGAACGGGUGAGUAAUGCAUCGGAACGUACCUUUCAGUGGGGGAUAACGUAGCGAAAGUUACGCUAAUACCGCAUAUUCUGUGAGCAGGAAAGCAGGGGAUCGCAAGACCUUGCGCUGAUUGAGCGGCCGAUGUCAGAUUAGCUAGUUGGUGAGGUAAAGGUUCACCAAGGCGACGAUCUGUAGCGGGUCUGAGAGGAUGAUCCGCCACACUGGAACUGAGACACGGUCCAGACUCCUACGGGAGGCAGCAGUGGGGAAUUUUGGACAAUGGGGGCAACCCUGAUCCAGCCAUGCCGCGUGAGUGAAGAAGGCCUUCGGGUUGUAAAGCUCUUUCGGCCGGGAAGAAAUCGCACAGGCUAAUACCUUGUGUGGAUGACGGUACCGGAAUAAGAAGCACCGGCUAACUACGUGCCAGCCGCCGCAGUAACAC